rnacentral:rRNA from 1 species
AGUGAACGCUGGCGGUAGGCCUAACACAUGCAAGUCGAACGGCAGCACAGUAAGAGCUUGCUCUUACGGGUGGCGAGUGGCGGACGGGUGAGGAAUACAUCGGAAUCUACUUUUUCGUGGGGGAUAACGUAGGGAAACUUACGCUAAUACCGCAUACGACCUACGGGUGAAAGCAGGGGAUCUUCGGACCUUGCGCGAUUGAAUGAGCCGAUGUCGGAUUAGCUAGUUGGCGGGGUAACGGCCCACCAAGGCGACGAUCCGUAGCUGGUCUGAGAGGAUGAUCAGCCACACUGGAACUGAGACACGGUCCAGACUCCUACGGGAGGCAGCAGUGGGGAAUAUUGGACAAUGGGCGCAAGCCUGACCCAGCCAUACCGCGUGAGUGAAGAAGGCCUUCGGGUUGUAAAGCCCUUUUGUUGGGAAAGAAAAGCAGCAGGUUAAUACCCCGCUGUUCUGACGGUACCCAAAGAAUAAGCACCGGCUAACUUCGUG